rnacentral:rRNA from 1 species
AGCAGCCGCGGUAAUUUCAGCUCCAAUAGCGUAUAUUAAAGUUGUUGCAGUUAAAAAGCUCGUAGUUGAAUUUUGGGGUUAGCAGGUCGGUCGUGCCAUUGGUAUGAACUGGUCUCGCUGAUCCCUUCCUCUUGACGAACUGUGAUGCCAUUAAUUUGGUGUCGCAGGGAAUCAGGACUGUUACUUUGAAAAAUUAAGUGUUUAAAGCAGGCUCACGCUUGAAUACAUUAGCAUGGAAUAAUGAAAUAGGACGUUUGAUCCUAUUUUGUUGGUUUCUUAGGAUCAACGUAAUGAUUAAUAGGGAUAGUUGGGGCAUUAGUAUUCAAUUGUCAGAGGUGAAAUUC